CCUUAACGAGAAUCGGAUACGGUUCCAGUCAGACUGGAGGGGAAGGACGCUAAUUUAGGUUCACAACC
rfam:Nematostella vectensis strain CH2 x CH6 NEMVEscaffold_202_Cont18632, whole genome shotgun sequence.